UCCCCACGUCCUACUACAACCGGCAAGUGUUUCUGCGUUUUGUUCUUCCUCAAGACGUAUUACUUUUUGAAACUGCUUUAUUGGGGAAGAGUGAUUUACAGUGUCGCCCUAGCCUCGCGGGUUUACAGCAAAGUGAAUCAUACACCUACGUGGUCUUAGGACCUGUUGUCAGUGGUGCUCCCAAGCUCUGACCAGGAGACCCUCGUGUGUUCUGCUCGCUGAAAGUGGCAGAAAGCACCAAGUGCCCCCUAAGCCGGCUUGCAAGAAAAUGGCCUGAGAUAUCUACUCUCCUUUGCAGCCCUCCUACCCCCAACCGCACCCACUCAGAGCAGCUCCAGUCCAAUUGGUCUGUGACAGAAAAAGAGGCUCCCAAAGGGGCAGAAGGGGACUCCUGUUGCAGCCCCUCCUCCAGCUUCAGAAAGUCAAGAACAUUUUGGUUCCAGAGGCAAGAACCCCAACGAAAAUUCGCUGAUGCGGAAAAGGGGAAAGGGAACAUGCACAUAACAGAGAGGUCCAAUAUGCGUGGAUUUAAUGGCUCCGUGUUAUGAGAAGGCUUUAACGCCUCCGUCUUCCCAUGCGGCUGCCAGGAUGACUGCGUAUGAGCUCCGUAUGCCGUCCCCGCAUCUUCACGGCUCACUCAGAUAUGAAAUCUCUGGAAGACAGUGACCAGGGAGGCUCCAGUCAAUGCCAGCUGCUCAGCCGAUGCCUGGGAGUAAAGCUAAGUAUUAUGGUGGGCCCAGACCUAUACCAAGCUCGGUGGCCUGGGGUUUGGGCACCUAUGAUGGGGAGCUUUAAUGGGAUGCCACAUCUUGAAGUACUUUCCCCGGAGACAAGGAUGUGGGCAGGCUGCCCCCCAAAUCAACAUGUCCUAUGGUUUCAGCACUGACAAUCCCCCACGCUUUCACUUGUUGUUGUUGUUGCCGUUCUCUCUUGUAUUAUUUUGUUCCACUUUGGAUGGAGCCAGGAUUCUAAACCCUUCUCCUCAUGCGCCCUUCUUUCCUGGAACUUGUUUAACUCAAAAUGUUCUGUCUUUCAGAUCCUAUCUACAAGUUCCCUAUGAGCAAGGAUGCAAUUCAUCUGCUUCUGGGAACUUGAGCGUGCUUGAAAUUACAGGAGGUCUCCUACUUCCCGAUUGGGA